rnacentral:misc_RNA from 1 species
GAUGAAGAACGUAGCGAAAUGCGAUAAGUAAUGUGAAUUGCAGAAUUCAGUGAAUCAUCGAAUCUUUGAACGCACCUUGCGCUCCUUGGUAUUCCGAGGAGCAUGCCUGUUUGAGUGUCAUUAAUAUAUCAACCUUCACUUGUUGAAUGGUUUGGAUGUGGGGGUUUGCUGGUCUCUUAAAGGGUUCAGCUCCUCUAAAAUGCAUUAGCAGAACAAUCUGUUCAUUGGUGUGAUAACUAUCUACGCUCUUGAAUAAGAUGCAGUUCAGCUUUCUAACUGUCCUUGGACAAUUUAUCAUUUAUGUGACCUCAAAUCAGGUAGGACUACCCGCUGAACUUAAGCAUAUCAUAAGCGGAGGA